rnacentral:rRNA from 1 species
AACGAACGCUGGCGGCAUGCCUAACACAUGCAAGUCGAACGAGACCUUCGGGUCUAGUGGCGCACGGGUGCGUAACGCGUGGGAACCUGCCCUUAGGUUCGGAAUAACUCCCCGAAAGGGGUGCUAAUACCGGAUAAUGUCUUCGGACCAAAGAUUUAUCGCCUUUGGAUGGGCCCGCGUUGGAUUAGCUAGUUGGUGGGGUAAAGGCCUACCAAGGCGACGAUCCAUAGCUGGUCUUAGAGGAUGAUCAGCCACACUGGGACUGAGACACGGCCCAGACUCCUACGGGAGGCAGCAGUGGGGAAUAUUGGACAAUGGGCGAAAGCCUGAUCCAGCAAUGCCGCGUGAGUGAUGAAGGCCUUAGGGUUGUAAAGCUCUUUUACCAGGGAUGAUAAUGACAGUACCUGGAGAAUAAGCUCCGGCUAACUCCGUGCCAGCCGCCGCGGUAAAAC